rnacentral:misc_RNA from 1 species
UCAUCCAAGUGAUGUAAUGGGUCCUCCUAUUCCCGGCCCAGUUGUAUUUAUUGUAGACUGCCCUACAAAUUCUCAUGCGGAAGAGCUACUGUCCAUGCAAAGUCUUAAUGGUUAUUAUCCAGAUUUUGUGGGUAACUCCCCACACAGCUGCAAGGCUGUGAAUUGCAUUAUUCAUUUAACUCCUCCUUCUGUUGUAAAUAGUCCUAGUUAUGAGAAAUGGAUGAAGAAGUUUGGUACAGCCCAACAUAUUAUGGCUGGACAUUCAAUGAAACAUGUGGAAAUUCCGAUCCUAAAAUCUAGUACAAGAAUGGCAGUACGGCUUAAUUACUUGUGUCCUCAGUUCUUCCCAACCCCUGCUUUUGGGUCUUUUCAGCAACAUAAUGAUGCUGCAUCAGGCUCCAUAGCUUCAAGAGAGGUUCAUAUUUCACAAUUUUGUGAAAGUAUAUCUGCUGAAAAUCUCCUUAAGGUAUGAAAAACUUCUAAUUUGUCCCACUUCAUAAUUAUGAUGGUCUCUUAAUCAUGCAACGAGGAUUGAUUGAUGAGAGAACUUCACAAAAAUAAAGAAAACAGCUAAAUAAUGUGAAAGAAAUCCCUCCAAAAAUGCAAAUGAUAAGAUUCACUUCAGAUCCAGGAUCAAUGUCAUUGUUAAAUAACUAUAGGUUAUUGAAAGUUUUGCCUAAAUUCGCAAUCCUUAACCUCUUUAAGGAUAUAUAAGGCUUUAUGCAUUUCUCAGAUUAAACACUAAGUACUUCUAAGUUAAUCAGAAGUCCGAAGUUGUUUCUGGACAUGGUUAUAUGUAAUAUCACUUAAUAAAAUCCCGGUGCUUUGAGAUACAAAGUGCUUCUUUCAAAAUGAGACUUCUUUUAACGGUUAUUUUCCCUACUUCCCAGGAAUAUUGGUUUUUCAGUCUCCAGUUUCUCAAUUUCUACUAAUAAUUAGUUGUUUUUAACUUAUCUAAUUGUCCUUAUCUUUAAAUUAUGUGUAUUUUUUUUCUCUAUAUAUGUCAAAUAGUUCACUUUGCGCCCCCAUAGUCAUCUUGGUUUGGACAAAUCUAAUGUUCCAAGUCCAAUGGCUCCCUCAGAAGUCAUCGAUGAGUUACUUUCAGAGAAUCCAGAGAUUAUAGAUGCUGUCCAGCAUGUCAGCCAAUUCUGGCAUAAGCCUGGAGGAAAAAAAGAGGAUAUAACAGCAAUGCCAGAUGGUACAAUUAUAUAUGAAAGGCCAUUGUCGGAUGGGGACACUGUCCCUUGUUUCCUGAAAAAUAUACGGAGAGAUGAUUUGGAGAUUGUUCUGCUGGGCACUGGUUCUUCCCAGCCUUCUAAAUAUCGGAAUGUUAGUUCCAUCUAUAUUAAUCUUUUCUCUAAAGGAAGUUUGCUCCUGGAUUGUGGGGAAGGAACUCUAGCACAAUUAAGAAGAAGAUAUGGCAUGGAGGGUGCUGACAGUGCAGUGAGAAAUCUAAGAUGCAUUUGGAUUUCUCAUAUCCAUGCUGAUCAUCAUGCCGGUAUAGCAAGAAUACUUACUUUAAGGCGUGAUUUGUUGAAGGGAGUGCCCCAUGAACGGCUACUUGUUAUAGGGCCAAUGCACCUUGAACGGUUUCUAGAUGCUUAUCAAAGACUUGAAGAUCUAGAUAUGCAGUUCCUUGAUUGCAGAAGCACUAUGGAUGCUUCGUGGAAAGCUUUGGAAGGUGAUAUUGAAUCAAAUAGGAAUCAAUUCUUUUCUGGAAGCACAACAAAUGCUGAAGAUUUUAACAAUAAAAUUACAAAUCGUACAGGGUCAACUUUAUUUGCUGGUGAAAGCUGCCUGCAGGGCUGUUCAAAGAGAAGGAAACUUAGUAUUCCAGUUGAGAAUUUAACAUCUUCACUACUAAGGAGCUUGAAAGAUGUUCUGGGGGAAGCAGGGCUGGAGAGACUGAUUAGUUUUCCCGUUGUGCACUGUCCUGAGGCAUUUGGUGUCAUACUGAAAGCAUCAGAGAGAAUAAACAGUGUUGGAGAGGUAAUACAAGGUUGGAAGCUUGUGUACUCUGGUGAUACAAGGCCAUGCCCAGAAGUUAUGGAAGCAUCUCAUGGAGCAACUAUUCUCAUACAUGAGGCAACUUUCGAGGAUUGCAUGGUGGAUGAAGCUAUAGCAAAAAACCACAGCACAACAAAGGAAGCCAUAGAAGUGGGAGAUUCUGCCUCUGCAUAUUGCGUCAUUCUAACCCACUUCAGCCAAAGAUACCCAAAAAUCCCUGCAUUGGAUGAAAUAAACAUGAGGAAAACUUGCAUAGCUUUUGACCUCAUGAGUGUUAACAUAGCUGAUUUACCUGUGCUCCCUAAUAUUCUUCCAUACCUAAAAUUGCUUUUCAAAAAGGAUGUAAUGAUUGACAAUUCAGACGAUGUCUAAAUUAUUCUCUUUCUAGAAUUAAAUAGUUAUUUAUCUAUCUUUUUCCUAUUUUGUGUAUUAUUGCUUCAACCUGUUUGGCAUUUUUGCCAGAGUAGGGUGAAUCAAUGAACAAGUCUUCUGUCCUUUUCUUAAUGAGCUAUACCAUCACUGGUGAAAAUAUAUAUAACUACAAAAUCA